GGAUUCACUCUCGGUGUACAUUCUGUGGGUUUUGACAGAUGGAUAAUGACAUGUACCCACCAUUAUAGUAGCACUACCCUAAACACCUGUGCUCUGCCUAUUCGUCCCUCCCUUCCCCCUCCCUCUGGCAACCACUGAUUUUUUUUUUUUUAAUUUUUUUUACUGCCCAUCAUUUUGCCUUUUCCAGAAUGUCAUAAAGCUGGAAUCAUACAGUGCAUGGCCUUUUCAGAUAGGCUUCUUUCACUUAGUAAUACCCAUUUAAGUUUCCUCUGUGUCUUUUCACAGCUUCUUUAUUUUUAGUGCGGAAUAAUAUUCCAUUGUCUGGAUGGACCAUGAUUUAGAUCUCCAUUCGCCUACAGAAGGACAUCUUGGUUGCUUCCAAAUUGGGCCGGCCACUGUCCCCUUACAAAGGUGAACACAGUAAAAUUUAUGACAGGCACGUUAUCAGACCACAGAGGAGCAUAAAACACGGGGAAGAGUGGCAGUCUCCAUCUGCGCAAGUGAUCCAUCCAAGGCUGGGACACAGGAAGGAUCCUGGCAUGGGGCUGCAGCCACACAUCUUCCUCCUGGGGCUGCUAUUGCUUCUGGGCCAAGGUAAGUCUGCCUUUUGCUCAGAGGACAACCGAUAGGUCAGCCUGCUGGUGUCCCAUGUUGGCUGGGCACAAAGCUUGAGAGAGGAGUAGAUCUUUUUCAUAAGCACAAAACACAGUUUAGAAGCAGGCAGGCUGGAAUGCUGAGGUUCGAGUGCCCACGGCUGCAGGGCAAGAGGCACGUCUGGGGCUAGGGGAGGAGUGCUGAUGGCCUAGAG
rnacentral:lncRNA from 1 species